rnacentral:rRNA from 1 species
AACGAACGCUGGCGGCAUGCCUAACACAUGCAAGUCGAACGAGACCUUCGGGUCUAGUGGCGCACGGGUGCGUAACGCGUGGGAACCUGCCCUUAGGUUCGGAAUAACUCCCCGAAAGGGGUGCUAAUACCGGAUAAUGUCUUCGGACCAAAGAGUUAUCGCCUUUGGAUGGGCCCGCGUUGGAUUAGCUAGUUGGUAGGGUAAAAGCCUACCAAGGCGACGAUCCAUAGCUGGUCUGAGAGGAUGAUCAGCCACACUGGGACUGAGACACGGCCCAGACUCCUACGGGAGGCAGCAGUGGGGAAUAUUAGACAAGGGGCGAAAGCCUGAUCCAGCAAUGCCGCGUGAGUGAUGAAGGCCUUAGGGUUGUAAAGCUCUUUUAACCGGGAUGAUAAUGACAGUACCGGGAGAAUAAGCGCCGGCUAACUCCGUG